CUAGCGACUUCAGAGUUUGAUCCUGGCUCAGGAUGAACGCUGGCGGCGUGCUUAACACAUGCAAGUCGAACGAAGCACUCUACUUGAUUUCCUUCGGGAAUGAUUGUUUUGUGACUGAGUGGCGGACGGGUGAGUAACGCGUGGGUAACCUGCCUCAUACAGGGGGAUAACAGUUGGAAACGGCUGCUAAUACCGCAUAAGCCCACGGCCUCGCAUGAGGCUGUGGGAAAAACUCCGGUGGUAUGAGAUGGACCCGCGUUGGAUUAGCUUGUUGGCGGGGUAACGGCCCACCAAGGCGACGAUCCAUAGCCGACCUGAGAGGGUGACCGGCCACAUUGGGACUGAGACACGGCCCAA
rnacentral:rRNA from 1 species